GGAUGCCUUGGCAGUCAGAGGCGAUGAAGGACGUAUUAACUUGCGAUAAGCCCAGAUUAGGUAGUAAAAACCACUUGAGUCUGGGAUUUCCGAAUGGGGAAACCCACUAGCAUAAGCUAGUAUCGCUGCGUGAAUACAUAGCGCAGCGAGGCGAACCGGGGGAACUGAAACAUCUAAGUACCCCGAGGAAAAGAAAUCAACCGAGAUUCCGAAAGUAGCGGCGAGCGAAAUUGGACUAGCCCUUAAGCUUUUUAUGCGUCAGGUGAAACUUCUGGAAAGUUGUGCGAUACAGGGUGAUAG
rnacentral:rRNA from 1 species